AUGGCUCGCAAAGUACUGGAGAACUGUUUGCUGGAGGGGGUUAGAAGUUUAUUCUCAUUAGAUUCAGGACCUCAAAUGAACUAACGUCAUGACGAGAGGCAGACUCCAGACAUCAUAUCGGCUCCUGAUAGGACCUGUCUGGCCCACAAAAGAGAAAGGAUAUGGGUGAAGAUUAGAGAGGCGGGGUUGGCAGACCUCAGCUGCUACAGCGUCAGCGUGACCCGGCACUAGAGAAUUCCCUUCAUCUUCUCCAUCUAAAACACUCACCACACACACUCUACCUGGUAGAGCCAUCUGUUUUGAUUGGUCAAAAGCUGCACUUUACAGUAAUGUAUCCAGUUUAGCUCCACAGAGUGUGAUAGCCAAGGGCAACAGUUAUUUUUGAACUUCAGUCAGUAGAACUUUCUGUGCUCAAAAUCAACUCAGCGGCACCUCUGAAAUGAACCACACGAUGACAUUUAAAUUUCCAUGGAUCCUCUGCCAGAGUGAUGAGCCGGCAAACGAUACAGAGGACUACUUCCUGUCUCCACUAGCUUCCUCCAAAUACUCACUCAUAUUGUGACUGCUGUGUGGUUUAAUGCUCAGUAAUGGAGAGAACAUCCCACUGGUGCAGGUUACCAGUUCUCAGUGGCUCUGGGAGGGGAGAAGAACAGAGAUGAUUUACACAGCUCAUCCCUCAGACACCGCCAGCAGUGAGUCACAAAAUCUUUGCUCGUAUGAGUCAGUGGAACAAGGUCGCCGCUCAUCCAGACGAGCGAAUGUGGAAAGCGACCAGGAAGAGAAACAAACAACGGAGCAAGUUGUCCUCCGAUAACUAUCCAUAAAACAUUUUCCAUCUGAACAGGGCGUGUUUAUGUUUAUCUAAGAUAAAAUGGGGGAAGCUUUUAAAGGUUAGAGAGAUGCAGGCAAUGGAGUGCGAUAGUUGGAAAAUCCCAUUCGUUUUCUCUGUAGAGAAAUAGCUUUUUAAUGAUAAUGUUCAAACCUUUCAAGAAAGUAAUUCCAUGAAAGAUGGCAUGAAAGCGAAGAUAUAUCCUAGAAGCCAUGAGUCAGUGUGAUUGCAUUAUAUAACAUCAAACAAUAUAAUGUAUGUCUAAUUUAAUAUGU